rfam:Spinacia oleracea cultivar SynViroflay scaffold17721.con0007.1, whole genome shotgun sequence.
GGUGAAGAUGAUGAUAAAACUAGACAGGGACAUCAGAAUCUCUUUUGAGUAAUCUAUGUUGAGUUGUCUAAAAUGGGAAUCUCUUUGAUGCAUU